rnacentral:lncRNA from 1 species
UUUGUACAUUUUACUUUACUGAACAUUCUUGCUGCUUAAAAUUAUCUCUAUCUAUAAUGAACUUGGCCCAUUAGUUUCAGCGGAAAAUGUUAGUAAAAAUUUACAAAUUUUAUGAAAAUUGUAAAAAAUUGACUAUAAAGAACAAUAACUCCUAAGGGGGUCAAUUAACCAUUUCGGUCAAGUUGACUUAUUUGUAAAUCUUACUUUGCUGAACAUUAUUGUUGUUUACAGUUUAUCUCUAUCAAUAAUAAUAUUCAAGAUAAUG